rnacentral:misc_RNA from 1 species
GAUGAAGAACGCAGCAAAAUGCGAUAAGUAGUGUGAAUUGCAGAAUUCAGUGAAUCAUCGAAUCUUUGAACGCACAUUGCGCCCCUUGGUAUUCCUUAGGGCAUGCCUGUUCGAGCGUCAUUUAAACCUUCAAGCUCAGCUUGGUGUUGGGUGACUGUCCGCUUCACCGCGGACUCGCCUCAAAAUUAUUGGCGGCCGGUACAUUGGCUUCGAGCGCAGCAGAAACGCGAACUCGGGCCCGUCGUAUUGGCUCCCAGAAGCUAUCUUCACAAUUUUGACCUCGGAUCAGGUAGGGAUACCCGCUGAACUUAAGCAUAUCAAUAAGCGGAGGA